UACGAAGGGGGCUAGCGUUGCUCGGAAUCACUGGGCGUAAAGCGCACGUAGGCGGAUUGUUAAGUCAGGGGUGAAAUCCUGGAGCUCAACGUCCAGAACUGCCUUUGAUACUGGCGAUCUUGAGUCCGGGAGAGGUGAGUGGAACUGCGAGUGUAGAGGUGAAAUUCGUAGAUAUUCGCAAGAACACCAGUGGCGAAGGCGGCUCACUGGCCCGGUACUGACGCUGAGGUGCGGAAAGCGUGGGGAGCAAACAGGGAUUAA
rnacentral:rRNA from 1 species